rnacentral:tRNA from 1 species
GCACCGCUGGGCGGCGGCCGCCAGCGCUUCGGCCGCUGCGAGGUGGACAUGGAGGCGCGCCGCCUGUUCGAGCAGGGCGGCGCC